AGCCCCAUAAAUAUGGUUAUGGGACACAUAAAUUAAUGCCAGUUAAUGCAUGUGCCUCACACUUUUGUCCUGUUUGUGACUUUCCUGGCCCCUCAGUGUCUGCCUACAAGCUCACAUAGUGUCAAUCUACAUGUAUGUUGUUCUACAGUGGCUAAUGAAAUCACAAAUCAAGUCCAGUAAGAGUAUGAAGCCAGAAUUCUACAUUUUGUAAUGAUUUAUUUAAUUACGGCACAUACACGUUUUGGUACAUUACUGUCCUUUAACAAUUGGUUUUAAUGCUAGCUACAUUACAGCACAAUUAACAAUGCAGUCAGUAAAUUGUCCUAUUGGAAUUUCUUGCAGAUAGAGAAGUGUCCAGCACAGCUCAAACAACAGACGUCAAUUUUUGGGGGUCGUCAGAGCUGUGUGUGCGGGUACCACUGUGUAAAGACCACUAGUGAACAUACAUCUACUGUGCCAUGCACAUCAAGACAACCUGUGUGUUCCAGCCCCUCUUUACCCACACUCACAGUUUCCCAGCGACAAAUAUUUAAACCAUCUCGUUUUGGUGGAAAGCAUGUCGCUGCAGCAAAACCAGUGCUUAGUCAGGCCAGGCCUCCAACUAAGGAUCAUGCCACUGACACUACUACAGCUGGCCCACCUGCAUUCACCAGUCCUGCUGUUGCCAGGGCCACAUCCACUGCCCUGCAGCAAUCAUGCAGUCCCAAGACUUACAUCCAGACCACAUCCCCUUUUUCCUUGCCUCCUUCUUUAUCUACCUCUGCAAGGAGGAAGCCAUCCACCUUGUCGAUGUCUUCUGUGUCCACCGUUUCUAGUGAAUCCAUUACCACCAGCUGUGCAUCAGAUGACUGCCCCAGUGUGGAAACCACUCUAUCCAGUCUUCCCUCUGUUGUACCUGCUGUCCCACCUGUCCCUCAG